UGAAAUAAAAAUAUACUGUAUAUGAACACGUUGUUUAAUGCGCAUGCGCCAGACGUCAUGAUGACGCACUACUUCCCUAGAGUUUGAAAAAUGCGCUGUUGUGUUUCUGCAAUCGCGAUGAGGAAAUGAAAACAAGAGAACAAAAGGAGCGCCACGUUUGGCUGUUUGCAGACAGAUAUUAUUGUGUUAUACUGCAAAUAAUUAGUCAAGUAUUUUUUCCUGACUUUCCUGCCUCUUUGGAACAAAUCCAUUCACAUUUACUUUGGAGAGCACCGGGACAUUGACAUAAACAGGACUUUCCAACUACUUCAAAACAUUUGGUGACAAAUGAUUUUGGUUUUCUUGUUUUUUUUGCCUUUGGAUUUCUUCAUUUUUAUUUUAUUUUUAUUUUUUAGACAAAAUUAUAUUCACUGUAAUGCUGAAGUAAGCAUUUUGUCCUCUUUAAUGUUGGUGCUACGAAAAGGUUUAAGAGCUAAAAUUAACCAGGUUUGUUAACACUUUAAUUAGGUUUCAUUUGUUAAUAUUAGUUUAUGUAUUAGCAAAA